rnacentral:rRNA from 1 species
UACGGGGGGAGCAAGCGUUGUUCGGAUUUACUGGGCGUAAAGGGCGCGUAGGCGGCGCUCCAAGUUAGGCGUGAAAGCCCCGGGCUCAACCUGGGAAUAGCGCUUAAGACUGGAGUGCUCGAGUGCGGAAGAGGUGAGUGGAAUUCCCAGUGUAGAGGUGAAAUUCGUAGAUAUUGGGAAGAACACCAGUGGCGAAGGCGGCUCACUGGUCCGCAACUGACGCUGAGGCGCGAAAGCGUGGGGAGCAAACAGG